AUGGGGCUGGUCGCCGAGAAGCUCACCCGCACCAACUACGUUCUGUGGCGUGCGCAGGUGACUCCGCAGCUAAGAGGUGCUGGUUACUUCGGCUACGUCGACGGGACGAUGCCGGAGCCCGCCCAGUUCAUCGUCAAGAAGGACAAGGACGGGAAAGAGGAGAAAACACCCAACCCUCUCUAUCCGAUCUGGUUCAGAGAAGGGCAGCAGGUACUUGGAUACUUGCUCAAUAACCUCACCAAGGAAGUCCUCGUGCAGGUCACGUCCAUAGCCACGCCGCACGAGCUCUGGGCAGCCCUUGCCCACAUGUUCUCCUCGCAGUCCAGGGCGCGCGUCAACAACAUCAGGGUUGCGCUCUCCACGGCGCAGAAGGGAACGCAGUCGGUGGCUGCCUACUUCGCCCACAUGAGGUCCCUUGCAGAUGAGCUCGCAGCUGCUGGGAAGCCGAUCGAUGAUGAUGAGCUUAUCUCCUACAUCACCUCCGGCCUUGACAUGGAGUAUCAACCCCUCAUCUCCGCCAACGACGCCCGCACCGAGCCCAUCAACAUCGACGACCUCUACGCCCAGAUGAGUAACUUUGAUCAGCGCCUCGCCCUCUACAGCACGGCAGGAUCCGGUGGAGGAUUCAAGUCCUCUGCCAACGCGGCUUCUCGCGGCCGUGGUGGUGGCGGCCGAUGCAGCGGUGGCUCAUCUCGCUACCGUGGGCCGCAGCGCUCCAAGGGCAAGUCUUCGGGCGGCGACGGUCGGCCCUACAACAACAGCAACAGCAACCCUUCUCCACGCAGCAGCAACGGCGGCGGCGGUCGGCCCUACAACAACAGCAACAAGGGUCGCCGCGGAGGCCGCCCACGCGCUGCUCCGGACAUCCCGCGCUGCCAAAUUUGUGGCAAACCAGGCCACACUGCACGGGACUGCUGGUACCGUUACGAGGAAGAUGGAGAAUCUUCCCAAGAUGAGAAGGUUGCGGGGGCGGCAGAAGGCUCCUACGGCGUCGACACGAACUGGUACGUAGACAGC
rnacentral:rRNA from 1 species